AAGAGUUGCGCUACUGUAUACUGUGGUACUUGCCAGAAUGUUCUUCCAUCAGCAGCUUUAAACGUUUAUACAAAUAUUUACCACAAUUACAUCUAUUUUUACAACUACGCUUACGCAAUUGUAGAAUAGGCUUUAAACUCAAUUAAGGGUGCCAUGUAAACAUAAUUUCAAUUUGCAAUACUUUUUAACACAUUGAAACUGAAUGGACUGAAAAAAGCAAUAUCAGAUAAUUGUACAAAAUGUAGAACACAACGCAACUACAAAGAACACAUCUAGGAUCAAUAUUGAUGAGAUGAUCCGUGAACCGAAAUAAUGAUAAUUCCGGGACACGUAUAUACAGGUACCAGUUGGCUCAGAUGUGUCAUCCAGUUGGCUUCAACUGUUGCUGCCUGGUCAAUCAUCAUAUUUCCGGUGCUGGGAUCCUCUGCGAACAGUGAAGUCAUCAUUGCCGACUGUAUUGUACCUUGAAAAGUGAAAAUCAAAAGACAUGGGUGACGAAAAAAAUUUUUGUUGAGCGAUUAUCGAUUCAAAAGCGAAACUCCCGAUUACGAAUACAUCUGCGACGCAUGUAUAAUUAAUCAGGACUACACCCACUUCCAUUCUAUGGCGGGAACAUGACGAACAUUACUUCAUGUUUCAUACAUACACAUCGUUUUAACUUGAUUAAUUCACUUCAUAGUAUUCUUGACCGUGAUAACGAAUUCAGAAUGAACUUCAAAAUGAAUGACAAAUAUGCGCGAAAGGACAACCACAAGCUUCGAAAAAAUCUAUUCUGAUCGUUAUGCAUUAUUUUAUGAGAUUAUACCUUUGUGUUAGACAAAGAAAAAGU